GCCGGGGUGGUGAAAUUGGUAGACGCACAGGACUCAAAAUCCUGCGGACUUUUGUCCAUGCGGGUUCGAUUCCCGCCCCCGGCA
rnacentral:tRNA from 1 species